CGGUGUAUUUUAUUCCCCUUUCCCACUGAUAUCAAUUCUCACUAUUAGAGACGAGUAGAGAAACAGAGAGAACUAAAGAAUAUUGUCAGAACAUUACAAAAGUUUACUAGUGCGCAGCGCUCACUAUUUUAUCACUUGUCAAGUUGUCACUCACUAAGGGACAUGCGAUAUAUCAGUGUGAAAUAAGCUUUGUGUGAAAUGUAUUGUUCUGUAUUCUCUAUUAUUGUACGAGUGUUUUAUACAAGAGAAAGUUUACUGCUUAGUUCUAACUCGGGAUUUCCACGAGAUAAAGCAUUGUGAUUACCAUUAUAAAUAGUGGGUCAAAUUAAUAGGUCUGGAAGGAUAGAAACUGAGCAAUAGCAGUUUUAUGUGUUCUGCUCAUUUCCCUAAAAACAGUUUUGUAGUAUACUGCAAUAAUAUGAAACCUGAUUGUUUUCAGAUAAUAAUGAACAUGUUUCUGCAUCAUCUUCAGCAAUAGAAAAAAUUCCCUAACCUGAAUAUUUUGCCAUAAAAUGUAAUGACUCUCCUAUAAAUAUCGAAGAAAUACUUGAUAAGUAUUGGUCCCCAUAUAAUAUAUCAAAGAGUACAAAUCCAAGAAAGAAGUAACAAUCCAAAACUGUGUAUGAGAUAAUUUUCUUUGUCCAUAACAAUAAGAACACUCCACAACAUACAAAAAAGAGUUUAGCAAAUUUCAAAAGAAAACUGCUCUCAACAACAAAAGAAAAUAAGACAUUAAAACAAUGAGUUGCAUGCUUGAAAGAAAGUAGAGUUUUUAAAGGAUAUAGUGAAAAACCUAAAACAAGAAAAUCUUUUACCCAAUUCUGCAUGCUAUUAUUUUUCCAUGCAUGAAUAUGCUUCAUUACAAUUGUUCAACUGCAUGUAGAGAAACAGAAACAAUAGUAACUACAGCUGACUUAGAACUAUGUGGAUUUCUAAGAGAAGAGUGCAAAUGAAAUUGUAUUAAAAUUAAGUUAGCUAUGUAUAUAUAAAUUUUAUUAUUUCAUUACAUAUAUAUUAUUUAUUUAUUAUUAAUAUAAAUAUUACUAUUUUUUUAAUUUGCCUGCGAACUACAUGUAAAUUAAUUGCUCACAUCAGUGAUGUAUUAAUUGUAUUUCAUUGUACAUAAAAUAUUUCUACAUUGCUAUAUUUAAUUCUACAUUGUACUUCAUAUAUUAGAAUAACAUUGUAUUGAUCCUGUUCAAUUGUAUGUAAAAUAUAUCAAUUCUAUUCUACAUAUUUCUAUUCUUCAUAUAGUAAUAUAUUGUGAAUUAUGAAAAAAACUAAUAAAUCUAUUUGACUGAA
rnacentral:lncRNA from 1 species